rnacentral:tRNA from 1 species
GCGGCCGUGAUGUAGUGGCAACAUGCAACUUUCCCAAAGUUGAUAUCGUGGGUUCGAAUCCCAUCGGCCGCUCCU